rnacentral:piRNA from 1 species
UAGUGGUCUGAGGUGGACGGGGUAUC